GUGAGGAAUAUUGGUCAAUGGACGAGAGUCUGAACCAGCCAAGUCGCGUGAAGGAAGACGGUUCUAUGAAUUGUAAACUUCUUUUGUGCAGGAAUAAAGUGGGUUACGUGUAACCUUUUGUAUGUACUGUACGAAUAAGGAUCGGCUAACUCCGUGCCAGCAGCCGCGGUAAUACGGAGGAUCCGAGCGUUAUCCGGAUUUAUUGGGUUUAAAGGGUGCGUAGGUGGAUUGAUAAGUCAGCGGUGAAAGUUUGCAGCUUAACUGUAAAAUUGCCGUUGAAACUGUCGAUCUUGAGUGCAAAUGAGGUAAGCGGAAUGUGUUGUGUAGCGGUGAAAUGCUUAGAUAUAACACAGAACACCGAUUGCGAAGGCAGCUUACUGGGAUGCAACUGACGCUCAUGCACGAAAGCGUGGGGAUCAAACAGGAUUAGAUACCCCUGUAGUCC
rnacentral:rRNA from 1 species